rnacentral:rRNA from 1 species
GACGAACGCUGGCGGCGUGCUUAACACAUGCAAGUCGAACGGUAAGGCCCUUCGGGGUACACGAGUGGCGAACGGGUGAGUAACACGUGGGUGAUCUGCCCUGCACUUCGGGAUAAGCCUGGGAAACUGGGUCUAAUACCGGAUAGGACCAUGCGCGUCACGGGGUGUGGUGGAAAGCUUUUGCGGUGUGGGAUGGGCCCGCGGCCUAUCAGCUUGUUGGUGGGGGAAUGGGCUACCAAGGCGACGACGGGUAGCCGGCCUGAGAAGGUGACCGGCCACACUGCGACUGAGAUACGGCCCAGACUCCUACGGGAGGCAGCAGUGGGGAACAUUGCACAAAGGGCGCAAGCCUGAUGCAGCGACGCCGCGUGAGGGAUGCCGGCCUUCGGGUUGUAAACCUCUUUCGGUAGGGACGAAGCGCAAGUGACGGUACCUACAGAAGAAGGACCGGCCAACUACGUCCCAGCCGCCGCCGCAG